AGUCUUAGCUCCUAAAAAUUCCUUUACUUUCCAUAAAAUGUCUAAACUAUUGUAAAAUCCUUUCAAAUUAUUUUUCUUCCACAAAGGAUUUUUUCUCUCCAAACUUUAGAAAUUCAUAUCUUCUAAUCCAACUAUUCAAUUUUUCUCAAAUUUAUAAAUAAUGUAGAAUUUAUCUUUAAGCUUAACCAAAAAAAUAUGAAUUACAAAUCUAUCAUAGAUUGUAUUGUAUCUUAAAAAUCCUAGUAGAUGCUUUAAAUCCUAAUUUACAAGCAUCUGGAUACUAUUUUUUCUAUAUCUCAAAAAUCCAUACUCAAAAUACUACAAAAAUUUUGUAUAAAGUUUAUUAACAUAAUAAAAUACAUUCUUAGAAAUUUAUAGCCAAAAUCUUAUCAAAUUGCUCAAGAUAUAGCUAAAAAUACAACUACUAGUAAAUCAAGUCAUUUAUUGUCUUUAGAUUGUAAGUGUUGAUUUCAACUUCUUAUAACUCUUUUAUUCCAACUUAGAAUUCAUUAAAUAAUAUGUAAAAAUUGUAGUAAAAAACGUGCUCUCUCCAACCUUAGUUGCCAAUCCUUCAUUGUUUUCUAUACACUCACAUUUUGUCCAAAAGAGUGACAGUAGGUAUAAAACCAACACCUUAACUUUGAGCACCUAUAUUUCUUCUAUAUAAAGUCC
rnacentral:lncRNA from 1 species